rnacentral:rRNA from 1 species
UUGCUCUUCAACGAGGAAUUCCUAGUAAGCGCAAGUCAUCAGCUUGCGUUGAUUACGUCCCUGCCCUUUGUACACACCGCCCGUCGCUACUACCGAUUGAAUGGCUUAGUGAGGCUUUGGGACUGGCUUUCGGAGGGAGGCAACUCCUUCUGAGAGCCGGAAACUUAGUCAAACUUGGUCAUUUAGAGGAAGUAAAAGUCGUAACAAGGUUUCCGUAGGUGAACCUGCGGAAGGAUCAUUAAAAAAUAUAGAAUUAAUUUUCUAUAAACCCAAUCUGUGUAUUCGUACCUGUUGCUUCCGUGGGACAGUGAACGCUUGUCGUUCCCUCUGGCGCUGUUCUUCGGAACGGAUGCUGGGGAGUGCCCACGGGAGGUCUACAUAAACUCUGUUUUUUCUGAACUCAGUCUGAAAACUGUUUUUAAAUAAACUUUAAAACUUUCAACAACGGAUCUCUUGGUUCUCGCAUCGAUGAAGAACGCAGCGAAAUGCGAUAAGUAGUGUGAAUUGCAGAAUUCAGUGAAUCAUCGAAUCUUUGAACGCACAUUGCGCCUCCUGGUAUUCCGGGAGGCAUGCCUGUUCGAGCGUCAUUAACACCCCUCAAGCUUAGGUUUACCUAUUGCUUGGUCUUGGAGAUGGAAGCCAAUUCGUUGGAGUCCUCUUCGAAAUCCAAUGGCGAAGACCCUUGCUCUCCCAAGUGUAAUAAUAACUUAUGUCACUGAAGGAAGCGAGAAAUCUUCCGCCGAAACCCCAAAUUGUUUAUGAUUGACCUCGAAUCAGGUAGGGAUACCCGCUGAACUUAAGCAUAUCAAUAAGCGGAGGA